UAGGAUCUGGUAAUCUGCAUCCUGAGGUUUAGGGAGUUCAAAAUAUUAAUGAUGGGUGGGUUUGAGGGUGCAAAGCCAAUAACAAAAAAGAUAACAAAUUAUUGGCCAAAGCUCUUGAUUUUGAUUCAUUUUGAGCUAUUUUGCCUACAUAUUCCCCUGAUUAUGUGUUUCUCUAGUCCUUGGGAUGCAGAUUAUCUCUUCCUG